AGGCACUUGAGGUCAAUUAUCGCCCUGGAUAAGGAGGAUAAUAUAGACUAUUGUGUAUUCGGAGAGUGCUAUCUGAGAACAGAGCCGCUUGUCUACCCUUAGGAGACUGCAACCACUAAGAGUACUAUGCCCUCUCACUGAGUGAAGUAACUGAUGAUAUUUCCAGCAAAGGAAUGGAUGGCAAAUGGUUGACCAGGAACAGGGUGGUUAGCCCCCCUCUUGAUAGGGGUGGGCCAGUCCUGCUUCCUGCCAGGAUGAGGAGUCCCGGUUGGGCUACAGACUAGAGAGGAGGCACACUACAGAGCUCCUGCAUCUAAAGAGGAUUCUCCAAAGUAAAUUACAGUUAUAUACUGCCUGUGUCCUCUCUAUAUCCACUCAUUGAAUGAUAUUUCCAGCAAAGGAAUGGAUGGCAAAUGGUUGACAAGGAACAGGGUGGUUAGCCCCCCUCUUGAUAGGAGUGGGCCAGUCCUGCUUCCUGCCAGGAGGAGGAGUUCCUGUUGAGCUACAGACUAGAGAGGAGGCACACUACAGAGCUCCUGCUCCUAAAGAGGAUUCUCCAAAGUAAAUUGAGAAGACAUACAGUGGAAUGAACAGCUACAUCCAGCAUCUGAAGACACUGCUGACACCCAGGACAUUACUAGGCCAGUACAACCUAAGUGCUAAACUGCAGCCAUCCAACCUGCCUCCAUAUUUUUUAUUGGUGCCAGAAGAUUUCCCUCAAAAUAUGCUGCUACUGGGUGUAUUUAAAGUUCUAUGUUGCAUUUAGUAAAAAAAGAUGAUUAAUUCUGGCCUUCUGCGAUACCUCAUUUCCGCUGCACCAAUCCCCAGGGAGCAGUGGCCUGAGGGAGUACACUGUGACACAACACCUCAUCAGGGCCACUACCACUCCCAUUCUCUGCACUGCCUCCUUUGGGGCUUGCAAAAUAUAGGCUGCGAUAUGUUAGUGAUACAGUGUUUUUCACAUAUCAUGCCCUCCCGUGGAGUAUGGAUACUUUUAUACUAGCGUUGCCGGAACUUCCUGCCAGAUCCGGAAAGCCGCGUACAAACGAAAAAACUUUUUCCGAAUCCGUUAGUCGGAUCCGAUGAAAUACUGGAUCCAUCUCAUCCGGAAUAACAGAUCCGGUAUUCAAAGAUCAAAAGCAAAAAUAGCUCCUCCUAUGUCCCGGCCCAUACGCAGACCGGAAAACCAG